CGCGGCAGAUGAGGCGGUUGUGGUAUUUCGGGGAUGCGUGUGUCGCAAAUAACGUCCGAGGGAGCCGAUCUGGCUGUUCAACGGGAUCGGUUUAUUGACUUCGCGCUCCUCGGCAGAGUGACCAGACGUCAUUUAACAGAAGAGGUUUAAGGCAAAGCCAGAGAGAGCAUCAGUCUGGGAAUCGCAUCCCUUUGCUUAUCUCCUGUCCUCCACGGCGUUUGGCCGUUCCCCCUCGCCCCAGCGGCUGCAGGCUGUGCGUGCCGCCUGGUGUCCCACAGAUCUGGGGUUGUUGCGCUGAACAUUCCUUAUAAAGGCACCUCUUGGCACAAAGGCCGUCCCUGGGAGCAGGGUCCUAGGUUGAAAUGAAACCUUCUUGGAAUAAGUAAAUGCCAGGGGUUUAUUUCCUAUUAAGCUAGCAGAUUGUUCAUUUUGCCACAGUUUGCGGUGUCCGACCACAUACGGGUGGAUACUUCUUGUCUUCCUUCCUCUUUAUAUUUCCAGUCUGGGAAACAGCAAAAAAGUUAGUGAAAAGAGUAACAUCUGUGUGAGAGAGAGAGAAAAGGAUGAGGCGGGCUGGCCAGGCAACGAGCCUCAGGAGAUGGUAACACAGAAGAGCUAUUCAUUCUGAAAGCCAGUUGCUCCUCGCCCUGCUAGAUUAUAAAUUGGACACCUUAUUAAGAGUUGAUCCUCCAGCAGCCCCACCCAGGGCUGUGCUCAUGCUCUAAACCAGUGGAACGUAAUCCCAUUUCACUAUUGAUGCCUGUUACUGGAUAAGCACAUGUGCAAGCAGGGCAGAGGAUACUAGGCAGAAAGAAGCAGCACCCUGGCUGUUUUCUGAAUUGUCAGUUUAAGAAAAGAAGAGAGAGUUUUGGGAGAGAAUGGGGACGAGGUUGGUUUGCACUAGAAUUUAGGCACUUUUAUGAUGAUGCUAGCUGCCUUACAAAAUAAUUAAACCAGCAUAGAUUUGGUUUUGGUUGUUUUUUUGCUUGUUUUCUCAGUUGUAACUUAAAAAUGCUGACUCACUGGCACAGUGUGCCAACCCAAAUGUUGCUGCUAGAAUCAACCACUGGAAGAGCCUGAAGAGAUACAACCCCACCAUGGCGUAGGCUUCAAGUGGGCCUCUUCGGUGAUUCCAGGUUUCUCUUCUGAUGGUUUGCUUGGUCACUUACUUCUUGUCAGAUUAGCCCAAAGGUCUGUACAAAUUUAGGCAGAUGUCAAGUUGAACAGUUGUUGUGGUGAAAAUUUCAUGUGAACAUAAGUUUAACAAAUUCAGCAAAGUUUUAUCAUCCUUGGCAAGACUUCCAAGCUUUUCAACCUUCGCGCACCUUUUAGCCCUUUGAAAAGUUGUCCGACUGGCAUUUCAAAUGCACAGUUAUUGCCAGUUGUUGUCAGCAAUAAAUACCUGACAUGUAUCCUUCAGGUCUUAUUUUGGUGCUGAAGCAAACAGGAUGGACUAUUAUAAACCUGUUUUAGUGUCUCUGAAGAGCAUCCCUGCUCAUACACACAUUUUUUUCCUUCCAGGCAAAACCAGCUGGGGGGUUCAUGCAAUGCUGGAUGCAUCAUGAGGAUUCUGUAUCAUCAGAGCAUUUUUUCUGAAUAUUGUCUAGAUACACAGCUGGUUGGUUCCCCUAUUGAGGUACCUCUGUUCUACUUUCCUUGGCAAGCAAUUUAAACAGAUAUAUUGCAACUGACCAGUGGUCAGGAUAUUAAAAAGUAACGUGGAAAUGCAACCUUAAAACAAGGGCCCCUCCUUGUGUAGCAGUGAGUUAUGGACAUAGAUUCAGGUGUAGUUCAGUGGUAUCUUCUAGACUUUUUGACUUGUUUUGCAUCCCAUAUAACUGAAAAGCAGCUUUUGUGUUUGUGUUUGGUUUAGGAGGAAAUAAAUUUAUUUCAGAUCUGAUUAUCAUUAGUGACUCAUUUGUCAUUUGAAAAUGUUUUUGUGAUUCUCUCCGGGUUCUGAGUCCCUGACAGUCACUGGUGUCUUGGAAACCAAUGACUCCUCACAUGUUUCUGGAUACCUUUAUGUAUCUGCCUCCAAUUACUUUAUGAGCUCAUGAAAAUGAACACAAGGCAUCUUUGACAUUCCUCUCUCUCUUUUGCUCUCCUAUUUUUUACAUAGGGUACUUUUGCCAGUAACUGUUUCCUAGUAAAACAAUGCCUCUGAAUUUGUGCUCUGUGUGUAUGUCUGUCUGUGUAUGUGAUUCCAUGUGCCCUACCUCCCCACCUCCCCCAAAGCGCGAGUCUGUUGGUCAGUUAAUUUGGCAAAAAAAUAUAGAUCUGAAAGUGAAAUUCCUAUAAGGUUGAAAGAGAGAGGCAGAUGGGUACACAAGAGAGCCUGUUUGUGCUAGAAGCAUCAAGGUGCUGCCACUUCAGCUCACCUUUUAUCAGGCACCAGAGAACCCCCACUGAAGUGUACCCUUGGAAUUCAGACUUCAUCCUGUCUGUCAGUCAUGGACUACUUGUUUGUACUGGUGGUUUUGGUAUGGUUAGAAUAGAGACAGGAAAGCUGGGUUGGAAAACUGGAGUUUCUCUUUUGUUCCACACUUUUGAAAUUUAUGGUUGUCUCCCGCAGGUGAUCAGGAGUUCCUAGGCAGUAGGCAAUCUCUGUCCCUGGUGCACACACCCUUCAGAUUGGGUAUUUAUUUUGUUACAGAGCAAUGUAACUGUCAGAUUUCAGUAUAAUACUAGAAGUGUGGAUGUCCUUAAACCAAUUUUUGCUAAGGUCAUGAAGGCUUUGAACAUAAGGGCAAAGCCUUGAAUUUCAGCAGAGCAAGUAACAGAGCUCAAGCUUGUUUGGUGGUCUUGUACUGCUGAAUAAAUGGACUGAAGCAUUCUUGUAUGGGGUAUCAUUUCUAAAUUCGCUAGGUUGUAGAAAUUAAGCAUAAGGACUGAGUUCAGUCUAGCAAGUAAUCUGAUCAGAAAUAGUGCUGAAGGAUUGAGGCUUUUGCAGCAACAGUUAUUGGGGUUUCCAGGAUGAAUGAGUUCAGAUGAACAUUAAAUCUUCUAUUAGUCUUAAUGCCGGUGAUGGGGAAUGGAUGACAUUAUGGAAAUGUAAAAUACUUUCCUAUACCAUCAUCAGCCCAGGCUCUUGCGACGAUUCAGCUUCGGCCAACUGCUCUUCAUUCAUUUGCUGAUCUCAGCCAAGCCCUUGAAGAGCUGGGUAAUGGUGUUAUUUGCAUGGGAGGUGAAGAUGAUGUAGAGAUGGGUGUUAUAUGUGUACUGCUGACGAGUCAGUCCAUGGUGCCACCGAAUCUUCUCUAGAGGCUUUAUAUAGAUGUUGAACACGCUGGGUGAGGGGAAAGAAUCUUGUGUUAUUCAGCAGGUGGAAAAGGUUUUGGAGGUUAAGGAAAGAGCAAGUGUUUAUCAUAAAUCUCUUUGAGUGUACAAGACAUUUAUGCAAGGGAUGUCUGAAGAUGUACCAGCUCAGUUCCAUGAGCCUGCAGACAGACAUUUAUUUUCAAACAGCUGAGCUGACUGGAGAUCUUACAGCCAUUCCAGAUGCUUGCUACGAAUCCUCUGCUGAUGCCGCCUGUACUCCUUGCUCUGCUAUUAGAAAAGGUGGUCCAAGGUCUUCUUAAUCUGUCAGGUGAAGCCUCUCAGAUAGUUUUAAGUGCUGACGAAGGUAGUGUUAACCCAGCUGACAUUGCUUUACCUUUAAGAGAGAGCUGUUUACUAGCACAACCUUACCCUGGGUUUUAGAAAGGAUGGAGAGGAGAGAAGGCUGCUGCAGCCUUUCUCCCAGAACAUGUCCACAGCCCCAGACAGUUCCUGCAUUGCCUCCUACAGGUCUGAAGAUAGGUAAGGCACGUGUGUGAGACUGGAUACAUCGACUGGAAUAGACUAUAUUACUCCUGUUUUGUGUGAAUAUGUGCUUGGAUAUUUUGUGCCAAGCACGUGUGUAAAAUACGUGUGAAGUACUUGUUUGUUACAUGAGCAACUAAAAUGGAGUAUUUGGAGCUGUGUCGGCCUCCUGUGUAAGCAAGAGCUCUAGGAUGGGUACACAGUGUGGUAGAAACCCAGGUAACUAAGAGAUCAUUAUUAUCCAAAUUUACUAACAGAGCAUUUACAAGAAAUUGGUAUUAAUUACUAUGUUAGUACCACUGUGGUUAAAGCUGAACCAGCAAGUUAUAAAAAAAUCUUUAAGAGUAUCCAGUUGGGGCAAAGAAGAAAGCUCUUGUGCUCAAGGGAUCAUUCAGAAAUGGCAGGAAGCGGGAAGAAAAUGUGCAGGUGGUUUUUAAGAGAUCCUGAAGUUCCUACAGGGUUUCCAGAUCCAAAAAUACAGAAUUGUUGAAGAAUCCUUGAUGCAUGCACAGGCAAAAUGGAGCAAGCUGUAACAUUGUGUGUGGCCUAGUGGUAAACAUGUCUGUGUGUUGGUAGUGCUUCAACACAGAGAGCUGAUAGUACCCACUACUAUGAUUUUCAGGUAGCGAAAUGUGCUUUCCAUUAUUGAAUGGUCCCCUCUGAGGACUCGGGAGUCUUCCCAGCAUCCCAGAAACAACCUGCAGCCUUUCUGAAACAUGGAAAUGAGCACAUAGUUUUAAAAUUCUCCCUUCAUCAAGGAAAAAACCUGCCCUUUCCUGUAAAGCUGCUGAUUUACUGUUUAUUGUCAUAACAUGACACAAACAUGUUAAAAUGGGCCACCCUAAUGUCUGAGUCUGGCUCUAAACAAGAUUCCUAACUUACUGGUCAUCCUGUUUCUGAACUGGGCCAGAAUGGAGCAUCCUACCUUAACAACAGCCUGAAACUCUAGUGGAAUUUAGACUUGGAUCCAAACUCAAGGCACAGGCUCUUCUCUAAAUAAAAAUAACUAGAUCACAAGCUAUUUUGGGAUGGUGACUUUUACACAAGAAACGUAGGGCUUACAUAGGUUUUUACUCCUGUCAAAUACAUCUGGAUGCUGUCCUUCUUCCAGCCGAUAUUCUGAAAGUGCUUUCAUCAGGUCACAGCCAAAUAACUCCAACUGGAAGGUGGAAACUGAAGAACAACUGACAUUAUUCAUGGUAAACACUGGUGUUUUUUUGAUAUUUUUUUUUUUUUUUCUUUUCUUCCAUGCAGAAAAUUCUGCUAUUCUGGUUGCUGCUGAUGCUGAUAUAAUUUCUGUCAUGGCCUGUGACAAAUAGCAUAUGCAAUGCUGGGUCAAGAUAAGAGCCAACAGCAUGUUGGAAAGCCUUCUCUAAAUAUGAAUCCCAAUGGUUCUGGCUUUCUUGACAGGGAGGUGUUUAAUGAAAUUGCCAUGCCUGGUACCAUUUACAUAGCUGCCAAAGCUGCUGAUCGCUAUCACCUCCUCUCUUCCCCUAGCAUCUGCUAGCAAAUCUUCUGUUUUUUCCUGCUUACUUGGCUAUACCUAGUAUAACGAUAUGAAUAGUUUCCAUUCAUGAAGAAUGUGGUGGGAUAUAGCUAGUUAUAACGGAUAGGAAGCAAAGGAGGAAGCAGUGUGCUGGCACCUUAUUGUCAAUGGCACCAAGUAGCAAGCACUAAAGCAUGUUUUAUAUCAGUGGGAGCUGGCUGUGUGUGGUACCCUACUGGGAGCGUUCCCACGGUGCCUAGUGGAUGGACGGCAGGGUUUUGUUGCUGUAUUUUAAGGUAAGAGCACUUAUCACCUCGAGAGCUCCAAGCACUCUAUGAACUUCAGUUAAUUUAAAGCUCUGGACUGUAUAAAUUAUUAUCCUGUUGUAUCGAGGAGCAAACUGGUUUGCUUAAGAUGUCACAGGAAGUUUUCAGCUUUGCCAAGGGUAUAAACUAGGUCUUCUGAGUCACAGGUCUGGGCUAUAAUCGAAGGAGUCUUCUUCCUCUUAACAUAGCUGGCCUACCUUCUCUUUGAUGUUAUCCCAUCUUCCCCUAAUCACUGGGUGACAUCUGAUCUCUGUAACUUUUGUACGGCAUCCAAGAUCUAUUGUAUUUGGUCCAAGAUCUCACCUUUCAUUUCUGGCUCUUCUAAUUCUGUUUCAGUCCCUGACGAUUCCAGGAGGCUCAUCCUAAGCCCAGCUGCCAAGCCCUUGGAAAGCAGGGUGCGCCUUGGUGGUGUAUCUUGCCACGGCAUGGAGAUUUCCCAGGACCAGCCACAGGAAUGGUUGCAGUGUCCUCCACUAAAGUCUAGCGUGGCAAAUGGCUAUUGCCACCCCCACACUUCCUGCAAUUUCUGCUUAAACACAGUGUUCUUUACUUGCUGCCUGCGGUUGGUAUGUAAAGCUGCUUUCUGUAGGUUUAAAGCUGCUGCCCCCUCCAAAGUGGCUUUAUUUUAGUGUUCAGUUCAGUGAUUUCAACAGAGUACCUACUAGCUGGUAUCUAAGGUUUUAUUUAGGGUCAAGUUAACAUACAGCAUUGCUUUUGUCGACAUUAUUAUUUUUCUUUUGUCUCUAAUCUCACUAAUUGUUUUAGGUUUCUUUUGUCUUUUUCCCCUCUCCUUUCAGGAUUUGCAAUUGUUCUUUUCAGCUAUGGAUGUCAUGGACCAAAUCCUGCCCUAAUUUACACCUGUAAGACCAAUGGAGCUGCAUGCAUGCACACAAGGAGAGAGUUAAUAAGAUGCUGAAGUUGUUUCCCUGUUUUGAAAAGUCACGUGUUCUAGAGGAUUGAUGCUGGGAAGUAUCAUUUAGGAUUAUAUAAUUCCUAAAUCUGUAAAUCCUGAUGUACAGAUAGCUUGUCCCAUGGCUGUAUAAUUUUAUUGGUGAUAAAAUAUAUAACUUUAAAAAUUUUAGAUGCUGUUCUGGUAGAACCCCUUACUGGAGUUAUAACACUUUUAUAACAGCUUUUUACACAAUACAGUGCUUUUCCCAUCGUACCUAGUACUAAAGGCUUAUCUACACCAGGAGAUUUCACAGGUUGAGAAUUGUAUUCACAUAAUGUUUAACAUUUGUACAAAGGGUGAAAAUUGAGAUUUAGGUUCUGUUUUGUAGAGGAUUUUUACUUUUCGGAAUUUGAUUUGGCAAAUUUUAAAACCUUCUGUUUUUUCACUCCCAACUUUUUGUUUUGUUUUGGAUCAAUUGGAAGUUUUGAUUUUGAGUUUUGUAGCUUACCUAAUGCAAUAGAAACAGACACAAAAUUAAAAUGAAAGUAGUUUUGAAAUAAUAAAAAAAAAAAGCAGCUAUGUUGCAUUUCAAACAUGCUGAAAAAUGUUCCAACACCACUGGAACUCUUUGUUUUCCUGAUUUUCUUCUUAAGGGAAAUCCUGGUGAAAUCAGCUGGAUUUUGUGAUGCGUUUUGAUUCCAGCAGAACAGCAUUCCAGCAGAGAUUUUUUCCUGGUGGAUGGAGAAAAGCAGGACCAGCGGAGCUCCUCAUGCAGAGGAUGUUAUUCCAGAAGAAGAGCACUCCCUCACCCGCGGAGAGGAGCGAUCCAAUACGCCUUCUGUCUGGGGGCAGGAGGGGGAAGGAGGGAGGGAGGAGAGGGGGGGAUAAGGAUGCUUCCUUCCCAGCACUCAGGGCUGCCGGCCAAGAAUGUAAGUCUAAAUUCAAGCCCGGCGAGUGCUGUGCCAGAUCCAGAGAGUUUGGAGUCCCUUUGUCCAGAAGCUUUCAAUACUUGAGGGAGUUGCCAAAUGGGAUGUGUGGCAUCCAUGUAAUAUAUCUGAUGCAUGAAAACUGGUUCCUACUGAGCUUACCGUGGUGCCUGAGGCAAAAGUACUUCUGAUUCCCCACAUGAUGCAGCGAUCACCAGACUACUGCUGUUCUCCUUAAACCCGGCCACAAUGGCAGUUCAGGACAACCUCCCGCCUCAGGUCAGGCUGAGGCAGGUGGCACGCACAGGGAGAGGAAAGGUAGUGCUGCCUUUGACCCUGCUUUCUCUCUCUGGGAAGGGAGGACCUGAUGCUGUUUGCAUUUCUCCCUAGGCUGAACCAGUAAGUCUGAUGACAGAAAUGAACCUUUCCCCCUGGACAUGGGCCAAAAGACUUUUUUUUUUUUUCCCUUUCCCUUCCCCUCCUGAUUCUUUCAUAACCGUCAUUUUCACGUAUCUCUGGAACAUAUCACGUACUACUGUCAUGUGCUGUAGGUGUGCUCCCCUUUUUUUUUUUCAGCUACGGCCUGCUUCCCAUCUGCCAGAUAAAAGUCUCUCCUUGUCUGGCUGAUGCUUGCCGCAGGUGACAGGGUGGACUGAAGCCAUUGCUUCUGCCCCAAGGGAGAGCCUCCACAUCUAGGAGAGAGGGAAAUCUGCUCUGGAAACACCAUCUAGCAGCCUCCAUGUCAACAGAGACGUAGCAAUUCCUGUGGGAUGAGAGUGCCUGUGUUCCUCUGCCUCGUUGGAAAGUUCAGCCAGUUGUGCUUGUGCAAACCCCUGGAGGAGUCUGAGGUUGAGCAGGUGUCAGUGAGGACAUAGCCUGGGUUGCAGAACUCCUACGACAGGCUGUGCCGGACAGAGAGGAAACUUGUCUUGAAAUCCACAGGCCAAAGCAAAGAGUACUUCAGAAAAAUGUUGCAAGACAACCCAGUUUCGAGCCAAGUGCUGCUGAUAACUUCUCAGCACCUUUGCUGAAGUGGUGGAGGCUGGGACCGCUGAGUCUCCAUAGAAAUCACAGUGGGUUCUGUGUUCAGCUCCUCACGGAGAGGGUGGGCCCCCAGACCUUUUAGCAUGUGGACUCCUGGAGACUGGCACGAUCUGGAGAUCUCAGAGGAGCCCCCCAGGGUGCAGGGACAUGGCUUGAGGUCGAGUGCCCCUGCAGUCCUCCGUGCCUGCUGGCGGGCCAGCCCCAUCGCUGGCCAUUGGCCCGAAGAAGAUGGAAGAAGAUCAAAGUUGUCUUCACAGCAACACACAGGCCCUGAUCCCCUUGCCAACAUACCCCUACAAGAGCGUACCCCUGAGCCGCCCCGCGCGGGGGCACCUGCCUCCCCCCGGCCGUGCCGACCCGCCUGAAGCAGCAGGGACGCAGGCAGCCCUUCAGAGCAUGUGCAGGUCCUGCUGCUGUGCCUGGGAAUCGAAGGGGCAGGGAGAAGUCCCAGGGGUGCCCAGGUGUCCCACGGUCGCCUCUGCCACUUGGAACCUGAGACACCUCCGGUCUCACUCACCAGGUCCAACCCAGGGAGGAUGAGCAUGUUUGAGCUGUGUUUGCGCUAUCUGUCCGGGAAAAGAGGACUUGUCUCAGCCACAAAGGUCUUGCUGGGGUUUGUGCUGAAGUGGGUUUCCACCAUCUGGGAUCUACCCAAGAGCUACAUCAUACUCUCUUAGAGAUAGGAAAACUUCAUAAAGAGAAGACUUUGAAUUAGGAGUCUGCUGUGCAUUGCAACAUUUAUCAUCAUGAUUCACAUACCUCCAGUAUUACUGCAAAUCCAGGCAAAGUGUGAAAUGAUUCUCUCUCUUAUCUUUGAGGAAAUGCAACGUGCUCCAACCCUGCUGACUCUGAAAGCCAGCUCUGCCCUGUUUUGGUCCAUGUAAAUUGUCAGGAUUAUUAGAAAAGCUCAACAAACCUCGACAGCAUAAUCUACCCAAUUAAUUUUGAAGUACUUUGGGAAGCAUUCAGUAUUUUUUCUUUUCAUCUUAUGCAGCUCCAUAGAAAUCCUUGGAGUUCUGCAGGUACAUACUGAGUUAUGAAGGAGCUGGAGGCACUUAGAGAGCUGGAACAUGAUUAAUAACUGCCAAAUUACAGGGAACACUUAAAAAUCCCUUAAAUCCCUUAAAUCUCUCCCCUCCCUGACUUUCUCCUAGGAACUAGGACAAGAGCCUUUAGCUAGGCUGUCUUUCCCUGAUGCAGUCCCUUCAUUGUGAUGGGAGAGGAUCUGAAGCCACGGGCAAGGCAUUCAGAAACUUUCGGACGAAGUCCUGAUAUGGAAAAAAAGAGAGAAUGGGUGAGCUGCAGCACAGAGGAUCACACGAGGGAGUAGCUGGUAUGUGCAUGCCAGUGCCAGAGUCCUCAGACUCUUUCAUCAUGGGAACGACAGCUUGACUGCCAGAUAAACCACCUCCUUUUGUAUUCACAAUUGCAAAAUAUCUCUGCAGCAGCUCUAGCAAUUGCUCAGAGAGAAAAGAAAUUGAAGAACUUUUCUUGCAUCCUUAGCAUAACAGGUGUUUUUACAAAAAAAAAAAAGCAUUUUCAUUUGGCCCUUUGCUGUAUCUCCGCUCUGUGUCUGAAGUGUUUUCUUUGUCAAGGAGAAAAGCAGAGGCAGUCAACUCUUUGCAGACCCUUGACAGUGGUUUUGGGUUUAUCAAUUUUAAGGUUGUUUUCCUGUAUACAUUUCAGUAUUGGUUUUUGUUUUAGAUUGCAUGGAGUAACAGUAUUGAUUUUGCUGCCAUGCUGUCUUCUGCAGAAAAAUUUAAGAAUAUUUCUCAUUCCUGUUUGCCACGGAGGCCUCAAUCUCAGAGUAAAUUACAGGAGAAACCCGGAAUCAGUUAACUGAAUGUUAAGCAAAAUGAAUGAGGCUUGUAUAGUGCCCUGAAGGUCAUUAGACUCAAGGUCUGAAUGGCUGCCAAGGGGAGCGAGCUCCAGAGUGGGAGCAUUCAUCUGAGAAAUCCCCAUUGCUGGACGUGGAGGGGUCAAACCUGGGAGCUGGCUGCAGGCUCCUCCCAGCUGAGCUCAGCUGCCAUGGCUGGACGUGGAGUAGGACCUUGUCCCUUCUCCUACUCCUGGUCCAGAGAGCUCUGCAAGUGGAUGAGAGGGCACGUCCCACCCCAUGGGAGGGCAUUGGGGACUUGCCUAUCACUCCAGCCAGCUCGCUGCUUCCUUUACUAGCUGUGGAGCCAGCAAGUAGCUCUAAAAUCAUGAAGACAGACAGUUGCUGGGAGUUAGGGCUGAUGAAAAGGGCCCAUGGAUCCCUGCUAAAGUGAAAGUCUGGAAGUGGCACAGCAUCAAGGGGUGCAGCAGGCAACGCAGAGCCACCAGUGGUCAGCUGUGUGUCCUUUGAGCUGCUCUCCAUCCCACCCACGACUUUCUCUCCCCAUCAGAGUAACUCUGCUGAGGGGCUGCUGGUUUAUCUUCCACUUCAGUCCUGUCUCUUUCCAACUUGGAUGUGGAAGUGAAACCACAGGAUGUGGAUGCAAGAUGGAAACAGAGAGGCAGAGCGUUGUGAUGUCCGUUCAACUUCAAAGUGUCUUCCAGUGCCUCUUUCUACAUUAUAGAAGAAUUUUAACUAAAUAAAAUCAUUAAGUGAAAA